UAAGCCUGCUGUUUGUCAAUGAAUUGCAUCACUUUGACUACAUUACUUUUAUUUAUUUAUUUUUUUAGGAAUCUGUUCACACCACAGGCACUGUUUGAGCACUAACUGUAGUAAAGCACUCUGCGGGAUGAUCAGUCACAAAAUAGGAAACAACCACAAGGAGACGGCUCCCAAACUUACCAGCGUUGACCAUGUGUGGACUUUGAACUAGGUAUUCUCCCUUCUUUCGCACAAAACUAUGAGUUUUGGCGCCCCCUGUAGGCAUGGAUGACGGUCAUCGCCCAUCAGCCUAGCACUAGAGAACCCACUGGUGUCGCAGCUUCACUCCCCUCUGCCCUUCCCCUCCUUGCCAAGGAAGAAGGAGCGGAUGACAUUAAAAGGUCCAAGAUGGCAGCAUCUGCAUUUCAGGAUGCAGGAGGAAGGAAGGAUGAAGAAGAAGAAACAACACAUCCUGUGUUACGUCUUAAGGUGGAUUCUCUGAAGCUGUCAAACAACUUAUGUAUUUUUGUCUCUUUGACCAGAACUUAGUCACAUGGCCACAUCUAGCUGCAAGGGAGGCUGGGAAAUGUAGUCUUUUUUUGUUUUGUUUUGUUUUGUUUUUUAAGAUUUUAUUUAUUUAUUUGACAGACAGAGAUCACAAGCAGGCAGAGAGGCAGGCAGAGAGAGAGAGGGAAGCAGGCUCCCUGCUGAGCAGAGAGCCUGAUACGGGGCUUGAUCCCAGGACUCUGGGAUCAUGACCUGAGCUGAAGGCAGAGGCUUUAACCCACUGACCCACCCAGGUGCCCCGGAAAUGUAGUCUUUACUCAGGAGUUCAAGUCUCCAGCUAAAAGUAGGGGAGAAGAAGAAUCAUAUCAUAAAAGAUGAGGAGAACAAAUUGGAGGAACAACUCUAUCACAACAGGUACAUAAGAACCAAAAGAGAACUAGCAUACUAAUAUUGGAGAAAAUAGGCCUUAGGUGAAAAGCAUUACUGUAGAUAAUGAGUGUCAGUACAUAUUUUUAAAAGAUUUAAUUCGCUAGGAAAUUGUCUGUACUUAGUAAUAAAUCUUCAAAAUACAUAACACAGGGGCGCCUGGGUGCCUUUGUUGUUUAAGCAUCAAACUCUUGAUUUUGGCUUAGGUCAUGAUCUCAGGAUGAUUGUGAGAUAGAGCCCUACAUUGGGCUCCAUGCUGGGUGUGGAGCCUGCUUAAGAUUUUGUCUGCCCCUCCCCCCCAAAUGUAAACUAAGAAUUGACAGAAUAUAAGAAGAAAUGACAAACUGUCAUUGAGAGAGACAUUCAUUGGUUGAUAAAUUAAGAAGAGAAAAAAGUAAGAAUAUAGAUGAAUUAGACAUCAUAAGAUUAAUCUAAUGGACAUAUAUCAAUAGUAUUUCUUUCUUUUUCUUUUGAAUAGUAUUUCUAAUACCAGAGAAUAGAGGUUAUUUUCAAGCACACAGAAAAUAAUGAUGGAAUUUGACCACCUUAUAAGCCAAAGGCAAAUAUUGACAAAUUUCGAAUAAUUGGUAUGUGUCCAGUCACAUUUACUGACAACAAUAAAAUUAAAUUACAAAUAAAUUACAAAAAGAUAAUUUCUAAAAAUCUGUUUGUUUUGAACAUUUAAGGAAUGUGCUUUAAAGUACCCAUUGUUACUCAUAGUUCUUGGUGAAAAUGAGAAGAUGCUCAAAAUGAAAAAAAAUAAACAAGAGAAAUAUUAUCAAUCAAACUUGUGGAAUGAAGAACUAGUAGUAUCUAGAAUAUAUAAAGAAGUCUCAAAGCUCAAUAGCAAAAAUCAAACUAAUCAAUUAGAACAUGGGCAAAUGAAGUGUAGAGAUAUUUUACUGAAAAAUAUAUGCAGAUGAAAAAUAAGCACAUGAGAAGAUGUUUAACAUCAUUAAUCUAGGGAAAUGCAAAUUAAAAUUAUAAUGAGUUAUCAAUACAAUCCUAUCAGAACAGGUAAAAUUAAAAAAAAAAAAAAAGCAACAACACCAAAUGCUGAUGAGGAUGCAGAGAAACUGGAUCACUCCAUUACUACAUUACUGGUAGUAAUGUAAAAUGUACAACUGCCACUUCAAAAAACAGUUUAGCAAUUUCUUCAAAAAACUAAACAUGCAACUACCAUAUGACCCAACAAUUGAAGUCCUGCGGAUUUAUCCCAGAGAAAUGAAAAUUCAUGUUCAUACAAAACCUGUAUGUCAAUGUUCAUGGCAGCUUGAUUGGUAAUGUGCAAAAAAGAAGCAGCCCAAAUGCCUCUCAAUGCAUCAAAGGUGGAACAAACUUGGUACAUUCAUACAAUGGAAUAGUAUUCAGCAGUAAGAAAGAACAAGUUUUGAUUAUGGAUACAUCCUAUAGUCUAGAGACAUCUGCAGAGAGUUAUGAAAGAAGCCAAUCCUCAGAGGUUUCAUAUUGUGUAAUUUCACUUAUAUAACAUUCUUGAGAGGACAAAAUUAAACAAAUGGGCAACAGGUUAGUUGUUGCCAGGAGUUAAGGAGAUGAUGGAGGCAGGAAGAAAACUAGAGUGACCAUGAGAAGAGCAACACGAAGGACCCCUGCAGAGAUGAAAACAUUCUGUGCCUUGGCUGUGUCAGUGUUGAUAUCCUGGUUGUGAUAUGGUGCUGAAGUUUUAUAAGAUGUUAC
ensembl:lincRNA